UACGUAGGGGGCAAGCGUUGUCCGGAAUCAUUGGGCGUAAAGAGCGUGUAGGCGGCCAGAAAAGUCCGCUGUGAAAACUCGAGGCUCAACUUCGAGCUGUCGGUGGAAACUUUCUGGCUAGAGUCCGGAAGAGGAGAAUGGAAUUCCUGGUGUAGCGGUGAAAUGCGCAGAUAUCAGGAAGAACACCCGUGGCGAAGGCGGUUCUCUGGGACGGUACUGACGCUGAGACGCGAAGGCGUGGGGAGCGAACAGG
rnacentral:rRNA from 1 species